rnacentral:lncRNA from 1 species
UUCCAACCAAACACUCAACAACAUGCGUGGCAUGGGCCUACACUUAUUAUUUGUGAUUCACUUUUCUUUUCAUAAGCGAGACUGAGAGAGAGAUCCUUCAGUCUAUCUGAUGUCUGAGUCUGACCCAGUAACGGUCACGGGUGACCUGAGCCCUGGUCAUCAUCUAUGGAAACCUCAACCAGAGUUUGAUCGGUAUACAUAUGCCUCCUUGAGAAAAGGCCCCCAAGUUAUAAGCAGCGCCGGAAGUGCAGUUAUCGGCACUUCAGUUUAGAUAUGAUGGAAAAUAGUGCUCACUUCUCGGAAUCUGUCAAUCAGUUGAAGUUCUUAGCCCUGUGGCUCCUUUUGUGGUUAGCCGGCCUGAAUUUGUCUUGCGUGGCUGGCUCUCUUCUGAACAUCGGUCAGGUGAGAUCUCAAGUGUUUGCAUGCCUGAUGAACAAGGGUCCGGUGUGUUUCUGCGAGGAGGGCUUGCCUUCUCUUUUUCUUUCUCCGGCACAGGGCAGGACUCUGUCUUUUUAGUAAUUUCUUUUAGAAUCUUAGUUGCUAGCUAGUUCCGGUAGUUGUGAAUUGUGGUACAAUUAAUUAUCUUUUGUAAAUUGUAAACGAUGAAUGCAAAAUCUCCUCAGCCCAUAUAACUGUACAAAUUUCUGUCACCUCGUGUUUGCAAACAUAGUGACAAAAACUAUCCUUUUCUAUCGUUAUUUUCUUUCUUUUUUGGUAUUUUUCUG